rnacentral:lncRNA from 1 species
GUGUGUGAUUUUUAAUUAGUCAUGAGAAUUUAAAUAAAUUUAUAGUAACUUUCUUAUAUUAACCGAAACCAAAAUGUGUUAUGAUGAUUGCGAAUAUCAGUUUCUUAUUUCUCGAUAUUGCAUAAAGUACAGUCAAAUUUAAAUUUCCUUAAUAUCUAUCUUUCCUUAAAAUAAUAUUAUUUAAAUUUGCAUACGAAAUUUAAAUUUAAUAUCGAACCGAAUUUGGUUAAAUCACGGUCAGAACCUAUCUUUUUCGAUUCAUAUGCAAAUUGAUGAACAAUAACAUUAUUAGUCUAUUAACAUUUAUUGAAAUUACUUAAUCUCAAGGUUUUGGUGCUUAAGUCAAGGGAUUGCAUCAAUUUAUUAUGGAUUUUCCUUUUGAAUUUUAUGUACUUGGUACAUAAUAAAUGGAUGCAAUCCCUU